rnacentral:piRNA from 1 species
UGAUCUAUGUCCCAUUUUUUCCCCUCAGAA